ensembl:lncRNA
AGCAGAUGGGGAGAGAGGGAAAGGGUGAGAGUAGGGAGGAGCAGGAGGGGGAGGGAGAGAGAGAGAGAGAGAGAGGGAUGCAGUGGAGAGGAGGAUCAAAGCCACUACAGCGACGAGCGAGGAUGAAACCAACACUGUCUGCUGGUGGGCCGACUACAGUAAUUAAGCACCAAUUAGCCCACCUUCAGAGCGUAUGAACCGAGGCUCGACCGGCAACAGGCUACAAUCACCCAGCGGCCCCUCGGCGGGAUAAUGGGCCCCCGCCGCCAACCGCCACUUACGCUCCAGUCCUCGUACCUGCAGUCGGACCGCUGAAGUGCUGCUCAGCAGAUGAGCCUUUGCGUGAUUCUUCUUUUUCACUUGGUCCUCCUCAAACGUUCUCCCUCAGCGUCCCACGGUCGAGCUAUUUGAGGAGGAGAUGCGUUCGCCUUGCCGGCGUCCUUCGACCGCUGACACAUUCGCUCGCCGUGAAAGGCGCUCUCCGCCUGCAGCACCUGCUCCACCUGCUCCACCUGCCC